rnacentral:rRNA from 1 species
AUGCAUGUCUAAGUACAAGCCGAUUUAAGGCGAAACCGCGAAUGGCUCAUUAAAUCAGCUAUGAUUCAUUGGAUCUGUACCCACACUUACUUGGAUAACUGUGGUAAUUCUAGAGCUAAUACAUGCACCACGUCUCUGACCGCAAGGGAAGAGCGCUUUUAUUAGUUCAAAACCGGUCGGGCCUCGGUCCGUCACCCCACCGUGUUGAAUCUGAAUAACUUGUCGCUGAGCGCACGGUCUCCGCACCGGCGCCGCCUCUUUCAAGUGUCUGCCUUAUCAGCUUUCGAUUGUAGGUUAUACGCCUACAAUGGCUAUAACGGGUAACGGGGAAUCAGGGUUCGAUUCCGGAGAGGGAGCCUGAGAAACGGCUACCACAUCUAAGGAAGGCAGCAGGCACGCAAAUUACCCACUCCCGGCACGGGGAGGUAGUGACGAAAAAUAACGAUGCGAGACUCAUCCGAGGCCUCGCAAUCGGAAUGAGUACACUUUAAAUCCUUUAACGAGGAUCUAUUGGAGGGCAAGUCUGGUGCCAGCAGCCGCGGUAAUUCCAGCUCCAAUAGCGUAUAUUAAAGUUGUUGCGGUUAAAAAGCUCGUAGUUGGAUUUCAGUUCUGGACUGACGGUUCACCGCCCGGUGCAUACUGUCACGCUCCGAACAAGCAUAACAGCCCGCUGGCUCGCACGGGGUGCUCUUCAUCGAGUGUCCCGCGUGGCCGGC